rnacentral:ncRNA from 1 species
UUUUUAAAAGUUUUAUUCUUGCUUAUUUAUUCACUUUUUCUUUGUAUUAUAUGUAAGUUUUCGUAAAACUAAAUGUUCUUUUUGCAGUAAUUUGAUUUAAUUAUCAAGUGAUUUUGGAUUUAGCAAUUGAUUUAGUAUCGGCAUAAUUCGUGCCAGCAGCCGCGGUUAUACGAUUGAUACAAGUGAAUAUUAUUGGUUAAAACAGUUAUUUAUAUUAUUUGAGUUAAAAUAUAAAUUUGUAAGGUGAAAUGUUAAAAUUUAUUUAUAGCUCUUUUUAUGAAUCUGUGAAAUUUAAGAAAUAAACUAGGAUUAGAUACCCUAUUAUUUUAAAUGUAAAUAUUACUUACCAGGGUACUGUUAGUUAAGAUCUUUAAACCCAAAGAAUUUGGCGGUAUCUCAUUCCAUUCAGAGGAACCUACCCCGUGAUUGAUAGUACACGAUUUACUUUACUUAAUUUACUUGUUUGUAUAUCUCCGUUAUCAGAGGAUCUUUUUAGAGUUAUAAUUCUCAGGAUUUAUAAUUAUAAAAUAUUUCAGGUCAAGGUGCAGCUUAUGGUUAAGAGGAGGUGGGUUACAAUAGAUUUUUGCUUAUAACGGAUUUGAUAGUGAAAGGACUAUUAAUGAAGGUGGAUUUGAUAGUAAUUUGAUUAAUUUAAUUUAACUGAUAUUGGCUCUGAGGUGUGUACACAUCGCCCGUCGCUCUCAUUAUUGAUUAUUCUAUUUUUAUUUUUUAGGUAGCUUCAAUUUAGAUGAGAUAAGUCGUAACAUAGUAGAUGUACUGGAAAGUGUAUCUAGGAAGAGGUCUAAA